rnacentral:rRNA from 1 species
UACGGAAGGCAGCAGUGGGGAAUAUUGCACAAUGGGCGCAAGCCUGAUGCAGCCAUGCCGCGUGUAUGAAGAAGGCCUUCGGGUUGUAAAGUACUUUCAGCGGGGAGGAAGGCGGUGAAGUUAAUAGCUUCACCGAUUGACGUUACCCGCAGAAGAAGCACCGGCUAACUCCGUGCCAGCAGCCGCGGUAAUACGGAGGGUGCAAGCGUUAAUCGGAAUUACUGGGCGUAAAAGCGCACGCAGGCGGUCUGUCAAGUCGGAUGUGAAAUCCCCGGGCUUAACCUGGGAACUGCAUUCGAAACUGGCAGGCUAGAGUCUUGUAGAGGGGGUAGAAUUCCAGGUGUAGCGGUGAAAUGCGUAGAGAUCUGGAGGAAUACCGGUGGCGAAGGCGGCCCCUGGGACAAAGACUGACGCUCAGGUGCGAAAGCGUGGGGAGCAAACAGGAUUAGGAUACC